rnacentral:tRNA from 1 species
GGAGUUGUGGCUCAUCGGUAGAGCGCUUGCCUCCUACAUGUGAGGCACUGGGUUCGAUUCCCAGCAUCACAU